rfam:Enterococcus sp. 8G7_MSG3316 scaffold00001, whole genome shotgun sequence.
AAUAAUAUAAACACAGAACCUAGUAUAUGCGUUUUUUCUUCAGAGAGCUGAUGGAUGGUGAAAAUCAGUGAUCAAACGGAUAGAAUCCAGUUCUUUGACGUGUAUUUUUCGAAAGAAAAAUCGUCGACUCACGAUACGAGUAUCAAGGGCAGCUGAAGCUGAACUUGGGUGGCACCGCGAAUGGUUAUUUCGUCCCAAGC